rnacentral:lncRNA from 1 species
AGGAGAAAGAUGGAAUUUUUGUAGGCACUCUAAGCAGUGAUAACUCAGGCUGGAUCAAGAUAUUUGGAGAAGGGAGUAAACUCAUAGAAACUCCCCCUGUUGUCUCCUCAGCUGUCAUGCCUACUGAUUCUCCAAAUGAUUGCUUGAAGGAUGAAAGUAAAGUCUCUGAUAGUGAUUCUAGAAAGGCCUGUGUAAGAAAUGAAAGUG